AUACGUAGGUGACAAGCGUUAUCCGGAUUUACUGGGCGUAAAGGGCGUGUAGGCGGAGAUGCAAGUCAGGAGUGAAAUCUAGGGGCUCAACCCCUAAACUGCUUUUGAAACUGUAUCCCUUGAGUAUCGGAGAGGCAGGCGGAAUUCCUAGUGUAGAGGUGAAAUGCGUAGAUAUUAGGAGGAACACCAGUGGCGAAGGCGGCCUGCUGGACGACAACUGACGCUGAGGCGCGAAAGCGUGGGGAGCAAACAGGAUUAGAUACCCUGGUAGUCCACGCUGUAAACGAUGAAUACUAGGUGUGGGGGGACUGACCCCCUCCGUGCCGCAGUUAACACAAUAAGUAUUCCACCUGGGGAGUACGAUCGCAAGAUUGAAACUCAAAUGAAUUGACGGGG
rnacentral:rRNA from 1 species